rnacentral:rRNA from 1 species
GAUGAACGCUGGCGGCGUGCCUAAUACAUGCAAGUAGAACGCUGAAGGAGGAGCUUGCUCUUCUGGAUGAGUUGCGAACGGGUGAGUAACGCGUAGGUAACCUGCCUGGUAGCGGGGGAUAACUAUUGGAAACGAUAGCUAAUACCGCAUGACAACAGUUAUUGCAUGAUAACUGUUUAAAAGGGGCAACUGCUCCACUACCAGAUGGACCUGCGUUGUAUUAGCUAGUUGGUGAGGUAACGGCUCACCAAGGCGACGAUACAUAGCCGACCUGAGAGGGUGAUCGGCCACACUGGGACUGAGACACGGCCCAGACUCCUACGGGAGGCAGCAGUAGGGAAUCUGCGGCAAUGGACGGAAGUCUGACCGAGCAACGCCGCGUGAGUGAAGAAGGUUUUCGGAUCGUAAAGCUCUGUUGUAAGAGAAGAACGAGUGUGAGAGUGGAAAGUUCACACUGGGACGGUAUCUUACCAGAAAGGGACGGCUAACUACGG